GUUAACCCAUUCCCCCUAUACAACACAGAUAGCUAGGUUAACCCAUUCCCCCUAUACAACACAGAUAGCUAGGUUAACCCAUUCCCCCUAUACAACACAGAUAGCUAGGUUAACCCAUUCCCCCUAUACAACACAGAUAGCUAGGUUAACCCAUUCCCCUAUACAACACAGAUAGCUAGGUUAACCCAUUCCCUGUAUACAACACAGAUAGCUAGGUUAACACAUUCCCUGUAUAUAACACAGAUAGCUAGGUUAACCCAUUCCCUAUAUACAACACAGAUAGCUAGGUUAACCCAUUCCCCUUUACAACAC
ensembl:lncRNA